UUAAAUGUAGUCUGACAGGCGUGGAACAUGCUUUCUUCGGACAGAUUACAAGGUGCUGCAUGGUUGUCGUCAGCUCGUGCCGUGAGGUGUCAGGUUAAGUCCUAUAACGAGCGCAACCCCUGUUGUUAGUUGCCAGCGAGUAAUGUCGGGAACUCUAGCAAGACUGCCGGUGCAAACCGUGAGGAAGGUGGGGAUGACGUCAAAUCAUCACGGCCCUUACGUCCUGGGCCACACACGUGCUACAAUGGCCAGUACAGAGAGCAGCCACUUGGCGACAAGGAGCGAAUCUAUAAAGCUGGUCACAGUUCGGAUUGGAGUCUGCAACUCGACUCUAUGAAGCUGGAAUCGCUAGUAAUCGGAUAUCAGCCAUGAUCCGGUGAAUACGUUCCCGGGCCUUGUACACACCGCCCGUCAAGCCAUGGAAGCUGGGGGUACCUGAAGUCGGUGACCGCAAGGAGCUGCCUAGGGUAAAACUAGUAACUGGGGCUAAGUCGUAACAAGGUAAGCGUAGUGCU
rnacentral:rRNA from 1 species